AUUGAACGCUGGCGGCAGGCCUAACACAUGCAAGUCGAGCGAGCGGCGGACGGGUGAGUAAUGUAUGGGAAACUGCCUGAUGGAGGGGGAUAACUACUGGAAACGGUAGCUAAUACCGCAUACCAUCAGAUGUGCCCAGAUGGGAUUAGCUAGUAGGUGGGGUAACGGCUCACCUAGGCGACGAUCCCUAGCUGGUCUGAGAGGAUGAGCAGCAAAACUGGAACUGAGACACGGUACAGACGACGACGGGAGGAAGCAGUGGGGAAUAUGGCACAAUGGGCGCAAGCCUGAUGCAGCCAUGCCGCGGGUAUGAAGAAGGCCUUCGGGUUGUAAAGUACUUUCAGCGGGGAGGCGUUACCCGCAGAAGAAGCACCGGCUAACUCCGUGCCAGCAGCCGCGGUAAUAC
rnacentral:rRNA from 1 species